UGGGGAAUAUUGCGCAAUGGGCGAAAGCCUGACGACGCAACGCCGCGUGAGUGAAGAAGGCCUUCGGGUUGUAAAGCUCUUUUACCAGGGACGAUAAUGACGGUACCUGGAGAAUAAGCCCCGGCAAACUUCGUGCCAGCAGCCGCGGUAAUACGAAGGGGGCUAGCGUUGUUCGGAAUUACUGGGCGUAAAGCGCACGUAGGCGGAUUGUUAAGUCAGAGGUGAAAUCCCGGAGCUCAACUUCGGAACUGCCUUUGAUACUGGCAAUCUAGAGUCCGGAAGAGGUUAGUGGAAUUCCCAGUGUAGAGGUGAAAUUCGUAGAUAUUGGGAAGAACACCAGUGGCGAAGGCGGCUAACUGGUCCGGUACUGACGCUGAGGUGCGAAAGCGUGGGGAGCAAACAGGAUUAGAUACCCCUGUAGUCCCUGAGCGGGCUGGCAAGGCGCAU
rnacentral:rRNA from 1 species